UUUGUGGAGGGUUUGAUUCUGGCUCAGGACGAACGCUGGCGGCGUGCUUAACACAUGCAAGUCGAACGGGAUCCUUUCUAGCUUGCUAGGGGGGUGAGAGUGGCGAACGGGUGAGUAACGCGUGAUUAACCUGCCGUGUAGUUUGGAAUAGCUCCUGGAAACGGGUGGUAAUGCCGAAUGUUCCACAUGCUCGCAUGGGUGUGUGGGAAAACGUUUUAGUGCUAUGCGAUGGGAUCGCGUCCUAUCAGCUUGUUGGUGGGGUAGUGGCCUACCAAGGCUUCGACGGGUAGCCGGCCUGAGAGGGCGACCGGCCACAUUGGGACUGAGAUACGGCCCAGACUCCUACGGGAGGCAGCAGUGGGGAAUAUUGCACAAUGGGGGGAACCCUGAUGCAGCGACGCCGCGUGCGGGAUGACGGCCUUCGGGUUGUAAACCGCUUUUAUUGGGGAGCAAGCGUGAGUGAGUGUACCUUUUGAAUAAGCACCGGCUAACUACGUGCCAGCAGCCGCGGUAAUACGUAGGGUGCAAGCGUUGUCCGGAAUUAUUGGGCGUAAAGAGCUCGUAGGCGGUUUGUCGCGUCUGGUGUGAAAGUCCAUCGCUUAACGGUGGAUUGGCGCUGGGUACGGGCAGGCUAGAGUGUAGUAGGGGAGACUGGAAUUCUCGGUGUAACGGUGGAAUGUGUAGAUAUCGGGAAGAACACCAAUGGCGAAGGCAGGUCUCUGGGCUAUUACUGACGCUGAGGAGCGAAAGCGUGGGGAGCGAACAGGAUUAGAUACCCUGGUAGUCCACGCCGUAAACGGUGGAUGCUGGAUGUGGGGCCCUUUCCACGGGUUCUGUGUCGGAGCUAACGCGUUAAGCAUCCCGCCUGGGGAGUACGGCCGCAAGGCUAAAACUCAAAGAAAUUGACGGGG
rnacentral:ncRNA from 1 species